CGGGCCGCAACUGUUUGACGUCAUAACAACAUAAUUAUGAAGCAGGAGACGAUCUUGUAGACGGUCUUGAAGCAGUCAUUGGAAGGACAAACCCUUCAUGCAAACUGCACCUUCUAUCAAGAAGAAGAAGGGCAGAAAUAGUUCAAGAGAGAUGCAUUUUCAGAGACACUCGUGUACAAAACACCUGGAUUAUUCUAUGGACAGAAGUGGUCAGAUAUGGUCUUCUACUAAAUGCUGCCAUCCAGGAGUGAAAGCUGCAUCUAGGUGUAAUGGCCAAAACUUAUGAAUCAGUCACAUCUACAUUUCUGACAUUGUUGGAUUCACAGAGCUGUCUUCAGAAAGAAUGCCCAUUCAGGUAAGGACCACGCAGCAGAAAUGGUUUCCAUGGCUCCGGACCUACUCCAGUGGCUCCGGAGACCCUUCUCCUUCCUUCUGUGCCUGGAGAAAAGAUCCAGAUUAGGAUGGGUGUACACUCUGGGCUGGUGUUGUUGGCAUGAGUGGGGCAGGCACCAGGAUGCCUUGGUACUGCCUAUAGAAUGGAGUCGACCGCACUACGUACGUAAGAUAAGUUGGAAUUCUUAGAUUGAGCAAAUGAAAACUAAUAUUUGGUGACAAAAUUAGUUAUAAACAAAGUUGACUAAUAAAAUUGGGUUUUAUUUUCA
rnacentral:lncRNA from 1 species